UACCUAUCGUCUCACUGGAUAUAGCCUCUCCAGGGAAGCGGAAGCUGAGUUUUUAGGGCUGAGAUCGUAAGCCGCUUGAACAGGAGGGGCAUUUUGCCGGUACGCAGUUGUGAACUGCGGAUUUUGUCCCAUAUUGGCGCAAAGUGGAAGAUCUAUUCAGCAUUAUAACUUGGGAAAUGAUAACAAGAUGUUAGUCACGAACUGUGUGAAAAUGAUUUGACGCAUUAAUCGUGUGGAUUUUAUGCUUAGCACAGCCAAUCUGAUAGGGAGUCGUUAUGGAUACCGAUUUGAAGAUGUCGUUGAUCACCACCGUUUGUACAUUAGCAAUGAUUAUUGUUUUCGGUUUUAUCGCAGCAUUGAACUGACUU
rnacentral:sRNA from 1 species